rnacentral:rRNA from 1 species
UACGGAGGGUGCGAGCGUUGUCCGGAAUCAUUGGGCGUAAAGGGCGCGUAGGUGGCUUCUCAAGCGUGCGGUGAAAGCCUGGGGCUCAACCCCGGGUCGGCCGUGCGAACUGGGGGGCUUGAGCACUGUAGAGGCAGGCGGAAUUCCGGGUGUAGCGGUGGAAUGCGUAGAGAUCCGGAAGAACACCGGUGGCGAAGGCGGCCUGCUGGGCAGUUUGCUGACACUGAGGCGCGACAGCGUGGGGAGCAAACAGG